UGGGGUAUAGCUCAGUGGUAGAGCAUGUGCUUAGCUUGUGCAAGGUCCUGGGUUUAAUCCUCAGUACCUCUA
rnacentral:tRNA from 1 species